rnacentral:lncRNA from 1 species
AACUUCAUUCAUCCCAACAGAACUAGAAACUUAAACACUCCCUAUUCAGCACAAGAAGUCACUCCCCCACGUUCCAAAAACUUUUAAAUUACCUGUCUACACUAAAACAACCAAAUCCCCCCAAUCCAUAUUCCGUACAAUAAGCCACCCACAUCCCUCAUUGCAAUAUCAACCCCAACCCCACUAUAACACACAAAACCCAAAAUUUUGUAGAUAAAUGACAUUUCAAGCAUGUAAUAAAACCAAUAGCACGUAACAAAAACAAAGCCUAUAUGCCAUUAACUAACCUUAUGAUCCAAAUUCACAAAAUUCUUCGUUCCAUUAUCUGACCAUAUAACCAACAUUCACAAAAUCCUCCAGAAAACAAUAAACCAAAACAAACCCUAUAUUCCAUUAUAACCAAGAUUCACAGAAUCCUCCUAGACCUCCAAAAAAAAAACACAAAAAAAAAUGCAAAAAAAUAAAUCCAAGCUUUU